rnacentral:rRNA from 1 species
CCUACGGGAGGCUGCAGUAGGGAAUAUUGGACAAUGGAGGAAACUCUGAUCCAGCCAUGCCGCGUGCAGGAAGAAGGCGUUAUGCGUUGUAAACUGCUUUUGAACGGGAAUAAAAAGCUCAUGCGUGAGAAAUUGAAUGUACCGUUAGAAUAAGCCACGGCUAACUACGUGCCAGCAGCCGCGGUAAUACGUAGGUGGCGAGCGUUAUCCGGAUUUAUUGGGUUUAAAGGGAGCGUAGGCGGUUUUGUAAGUCAGUGGUGAAAGACGGUCGCUCA